rnacentral:lncRNA from 1 species
CAUUUAUUGCAUCUAGCCUGGGGCUUUCUGUCUGUUAGAAAUAUCAGGGUUAUUUCCUUCUUUUAAGAGUUUAUGUUAAAAAAAAAACUUUACAAAUAAUGUUUGCUGUUUAAUGUUCUCCCCUGAAAUAUCAAUCUGCAAAAAAUAGAAAUCCUUUUUUACAAUUCAUUGCAAGGAUAUAGUUCCAGUUUCUUAUAAUGUAAUGAAUGUAUGGCAGAUAAUGGUCCAAUAGUGCAAACGAAAGGCGCAUAUAAUCAAAAUGAUAAUGGAGCGUAUUGUACUGCUUGUAUAAUACAAUCCAUACCAAUAUGGAAAUCAUAUCUCAAGGCAACAUUCCUCUCUUUGAUUUUUGUAAUAAUUGUACAUGUAAGAGCAGAGCAGCGAGAAGUGGGGGGACAAAGGCCUUUAUUGCUUCAUUAGGCAGCUGGCGUUCUGAUGGUCCGGCCUGUCGACAGUCGUUCCUUAAUUUCCAAGGGAAGCUUCUCCUCUUUCUGCAGACAUGAUUUACUGUUCACGUCAGCUCCCUUUUCAGCCCUUUCUCUGUGAAGACUCACAAUUAGAUAAAAUGAGCUUUGAGGGCCCUUUUGAUCAGCACCUUCUGCCUGCUUGGCCAGUGAUCUGGGUUUGGGUCAGACUGGAGCCAGGCUGCCGGAAGCUUGGGUGGGAAGGAAGAGAAGGCCUUGGUAGAGGCCUUUGAGAGCCUCGGGCUGCACAGCCUCCUUGGCCGGCUAGGCAAGGGGCAUGUGAGGGAGUGGAAGAGCAACAGGCACAGGCCCUACCUGCACCGCCUUGCAUUCUAGAAAGGUCAGCGCACACUCAAGGUGGGAAAUGUCCACUCUGAAGUCGGGCCUCAAGUGGAUCUUGGCUUAUGUACCAACUAGAGUAUGACCUUGGCCUUGACCUCUCUCAGCAGCAGCAACCAGAGAUGUUGGCCAAGGUUGUAAAGUUGGGUGGCAGUGGUGAGGGGAGAGCCCAACUUCCUAAAGAGGUCAGUGUUUUCUCCCAGGUUCUGGGAAUGGAAAGAUGCUGGCAGAAAGCAAAUCCCACACCAGAGGAGUAGAUUGACAAGUAACCUGGAAGUUAUUUUUUGGACUUUUUGGAUCAGAGCAAACUUGGAUCUUGCUCCUAAAUGCUGUGUACCCAGCUACUUCUCCUGGCCCAGUGGGUCCUGGGGCCAUGCCUUCUGGGAGUCUGGAUGGGGCGGGGUGAGGUGCGGUAGCCCUGGCCCAGGGCGCCCCAUCAUUGUAAGGUGGAAGGGAAACUGCGGAUGGUGGUCUGUAAGGGUCAGGGGUCAGGCGCUGAGCAAAGGCGGGGCAGGAAUCCGGCGGCCCAGAACUGGAGGUGAGCCCUGGCAGGCCCAAGGGAGCCUUCGGCUUUUCUUGGGCGCCGGAGUCCGCAGCACAGGCUGGCUGAGGGCUGGUAAGGGAGCCGUGCUGAUGGGGCAGAGUCCUGGGCACAGUCCUUUGUGGGCUUUGUCUUGGAGGCACUGCCACUUCUUGACGCUGGCCUGGGGACGCUGCCAGAGAGACCAUGCUGUGUGACCCUCACUGCUGCUGAGGCCAGAGAGGGAGGUGAUGUCCUGGGCUACCCCGGGAAAUGGGGCAGAGAGGAAACUCAGCGGAAGCCAGGUCUCCAUUUUAAGUUCUUUGGCGAGAAAGCAUAACGUGCUGAUGCCUCCCAGGUGUGUCUGCAGAGCAAACCCUGGGGGCAGCCCCAGCUCUCAGGAGGAUGGCCCCGGGGGGCGGUGGGGGGUCCCACCUCCUCUUCUUGUCUCCACACCAACAUCCACUCCAAUCCACACAUACCCUGUAGGCUCCUGUGGUUAAACUCACGUCCCUGAGGCCCAGACUCCCUGAGCUUAAAUUGCAGUUCCACCAUGUUCGACCUUUGUGGGCUUGGCCAAGGCCCUGGCCCUCUCGAAGCCACAGUGUUCUCUUGUGUACGACGGGGAAUAACUGCAGCGAGGAAGUGGGAAGAGGACUGAGUGAGUUCAGCAGGGAGUGAACACCUGGCCGUAUGCACGCUAAGGCCGUAGCCAUCCGUCACCAGGUAGGGACAACAGGUUCACCUCCUGGGGGCAGGCCUUGACCUGCUCAGGACUCUGAGGUGUGUCUGCACUAACGGGCCUCAGGAAGGGGUCAUCUUUCUUUCUCUCUCCAGGUCACCGCAAGCAGUGGGGUAACGUGCACAGGAAGGGGUAACGUGCACAGAAAGGUUACGUCCUGGGCAGUGGGAAGCAGUGGGGUAACGUGCACAGGAAGGGGUAACGUGCACAGGAAGGGGUAACGUGCACAGGAAGGUGACGUCCCGGGCAGUGGGAAGCAGUGGGGUGACGUGCACAGGAAGGGGUAACGUGCACAGGAAGGUGACGUCGCGGGCAGUGGGAAGCAGUGGGGUGACGUGCACAGGAAGGGGUAACGUGCACAGGAAGGUGACGUCCCGGGCAGUGGGAAGCAGUGGGGUGACGUGCACAGGAAGGGGUAACGUGCACAGGAAGGUGACGUCGCGGGCAGUGGGAAGCAGUGGGGUGACGUGCACAGGAAGGGGUAACGUGCACAGGAAGGUGACGUCGCGGGCAGUGGGAAGCAGUGGGGUGACGUGCACAGGAAGGGGUAACGUGCACAGGAAGGUGACGUCCCG